UACGGAGGGUGCAAGCGUUAUCCGGAAUCAUUGGGUUUAAAGGGUCCGCAGGCGGCUUUAUAAGUCAGUGGUGAAAGCCCGAUGCUUAACAUCAGAACUGCCAUUGAUACUGUAAGUCUUGAAUUCGAUCGAAGUGGGCGGAAUAUGACAUGUAGCGGUGAAAUGCUUAGAUAUGUCAUAGAACACCUAUAGCGAAGGCAGCUUACUGGGCUGUAACUGACGCUGAGGCACGAAAGUGUGGGGAUCAAACAGG
rnacentral:rRNA from 1 species